rnacentral:rRNA from 1 species
CAGCAGCCACGGGAAUACGAAGGGUGCAAGCGUUACUCGGAAUUACUGGGCGUAAAGCGUGCGUAGGUGGUGGUUUAAGUCCGUUGUGAAAGCCCUGGGCUCAACCUGGGAAUUGCAGUGGAUACUGGGUCACUAGGGUGUGGUAGAGGAUAGUGGAAUUUCCGGUGUAGCAGUGAAAUGCGUAGGGAUCGGAAGGAACAUCUGUGGCGAAGGCGACUAUCUGGGCCAACACUGACACUGAGGCACGAAAGCGUGGGGAGCAAACAGGAUUAGAUACCCCUGUAGUCCCUGUCUCUUAUAC